GAGAGAGAGAGAGAGUGAGUGAGUGUGAGUGUGUGUGUGUGUGUAUGUGUAGGUUGCAGUGUGGGGAUCUAGUCUGUGAUUAAGACUUGUUUUCAAAGUGUUCGCCGUGGAUUUUUUUCUUAAACACCGUUUUUUCUCAGUGAGUUUUGAACCAUGAUGUCACCAAAGUGUUUCUCAGGCUUUGAAAGAUAGUUUCCUGGGUUAGAUUAUAGCAAGAUUUGGGGGUUAAAAAAAGUUGAAUUUCUGGCCUAAAGAGUCAUCAUAACCUUUUACCUAGAGCUAACACUUACAUACCUCAGGUCAAAUAAAUUUAGAUAUAUGCUUAGUGUUCCAUAAAUAGGAACUCUUUGUUCCUUUGUCAUCCUUGGCAGGACCAGAGAAGUUAUUGAUAGUCACAUGUUCCUUUCUUUGUUGUUGAGAUCACCACGUUCUCAUAAAGCCCUGUUAGGAAGCAGAGGACGGACUGCCGUGUUUCACUGUAGAGAGAAAAAGACCUUGUCAUGUCUCUGCCGUCAUGGGAUUCUAGUAUCUUGCUAUGCCAGUGAUGUGGUCUGAAAACUUGUUUUUAUGGGCGUACCUGCAAAACAUUAUGCUCUGUGGAAAGAGGCAGGCACAGACAAGAAUGGUUCCAUUUAUAUGAAGUUCUGCAAUGGGCAAACUGGUUGGUGGUGAAAGAAAUCAGAAGAGUGGUUGGCAGGAAGUGAGAAAGAGGGAUUGGUUGGGGUUGGAGGUGGCCCAGAGGAACUCCUUAGAGGGUUAUUUUCAUCAUGGCUUGGGUUACACCGUGUUUGUCAACAUUCGUAGACUGGUACAACUAAGAUGUUUUGCAUUUCACGGUAUGUACAUUUAAUCUCAAAAAAGGAACCUAAUAGUUAAUCAGGUGCAUGUUGAAAUGUGUGGGAGUGAAGUGAACUGAUGCCUACGCCGUAGUUGAAUUGGAUCAGAAAAUGGGAUGGAUGGAUUGAUGGAUGGAUGGAUGGGUGGAUAUGUAAUAAAGCAAGUAUACAGCAACAUAUUGGAAUUAUAAAAUCUAGGUGGAGUGGAAAGAGAUGUUCACUUUCAACUUUUUUUGGUGUGCUUAAAAAUGUGUUAAUAAAAUUUAGGAGGAAAUCAAAAUAAUUGUUACUGCAUUAAAAAUGUUGUAGAUCUCCUACAGGUAAACCUAAUUUAAUCUGAAGUGCUGUCUCACAUGUAGAAGCAUACAGUCUUAUGAUGAGUCACAGUUUUUAAAAAGAUGAAUCUUGUCAGAAUUAAAAGGCAUAUGUGAUUCUUUGAAGAAUUUCACUAAUAAAUGGAAACUGCAGUCACAGGAUCCUUUGACUUCCUCACUCUUCCUAAAUCACAGCAGAUUCCAGAUUAAAAAUCAAUCAGUAUUCUCUGCUGAACUCUAAUUAACACUUAAACAGUAUUAGUCACAAAUGUGAAAUCUUGAUCAGAGAUGACCUCAGGUAUUCUAAAUGUAAAUAAAAUUAGAUUUAGAUCCCUUUUAAUUACCUGAGGUGCUGUGAGUAAUUACAAUGGCAAUUGAUAAACUUAAUUUCUUAUUAAAGGCGGGGGAAAAGCCAUGCAAAGUUUCUCUCUGCUAAAUACUUAACUCUUCAGUGGCCAUGGCCUAUGCAAAAAAAAAAAAUUUAGAUUUACAUGUUAAUCAUGUAGAAUUAUAGAGCGUUUUAAAAAUUUUAUGUGGGCCCUCAAAUUCAUCAUGCAUCUCCUAACUUGGUGGGUAAUGUUACUAUAACAUCACAAAGGGCAAAACUUCCCCAGAGGAACUUCAUGUCUCAAAAAAGGUAGGUUUCUGGGAGGUGAUGCUGGUUAAGUAAUAAUAAUGGACGGCUGCUGGGGAGGGUGUUACAGUGACUUAAUGCACAAAGCCCUGUUGAAGACCAAGUGGAAAUCUGUUUUGUCAUCUCAUCCUUCUUCCUAAUUGCAUCACAAUACAUUGUAUGAUUCAACCUGUGUGUCACUGUCACUUCUUCCAGUGCACAGGGCCACCGCUGCCGACUCAUUAUUAACAGAGCAGGGAGGAGAGGAAUCAUUUUCAGCAGUUCCAACCAAGACAUCUUCUCUCCCCCACUUUAAGAAGAAAAUGUCUUUUUUAUGGAGAUUGUUGUAAGGAUAAUUAUUUCUGGAAAUAGGAAAACAGCUUCAGUUGUGGUAGAUACGUCCAUUUUUCUUAAAAGUUAAAAGCUGUCCGAAGGAGAGCGGGCCUGUGGCAGAUGGAAAGAUUAGAGAAGUUUCUGCACUCCUUUUCUUUUUUCUGUUGGCAUGCAUAUCUAAAAA